CAAUUAAUAUGUAAUGAUAAUAAAUGUAUAAACUAUUAAAUAGACAUGAACCAGUGUUUCUUCAGAGAUAAAGCUCUGUUCGUAGUGAUCUGGAAUCUGGCUUUGGGAGAGGAAGCCGUGGCCAACCUGCAGUCGUGGCUGCUCAACAUCCAGGCUCGUGCUCCUAACUCUGCUGUCAUCGUCGUCGGGACGCAUCUGGACCUCAUAGACACUAGUUUGGUACGGAGCGCGUGGCCACGCUGAGGGCCUACAUCCUGGCACUCUGCAGAACCAGCGGAUCCCCCGACAUCACACUCAAACACCUCCAUGAGCUGUCGUGUAAGACGCUGGAAGGCAUGGACGUGCUCAAGAGGCGGUUGUUUCAGCUCGGCUGCUCCAUGAGGGACAUCAGCAACCCUGCUAGCUGUCACAGAUUCUGGGAAGACUGAUCCCCAAAAGUUAGCUGACCCUGCAGGAGGCCAUAAAAGCAGAGCGUGUGAGGAGAGACGAAGCCGACGAGGUCCAGUACCUGACGGACUCUGAACUGGAGCACAUCAUUGAGCAGAGUCCGGCCAGUGAUAGCAAAGAUUAGCAGGAUCUGCAGACGGGUAAUGCACAAAGAAAAAUUCAUGUCUAUUCAGAAAUGCUAUCAAUUCAUAUUUGUUUAUGUUUAUUAAAUAUUGAAAAAAUAUAUGGUUAUUUUUAAGAUGCAUAUUUUUAUAUUUCUGUUCUGAAUUAACUAACAUAUAUUUAUUUAGUCAUUUAUUCAA